rnacentral:rRNA from 1 species
UGGGGAAUCUUGCACAAUGGGGUAACCCCUGAUGCAGCCAUGCCGCGUGGAGGAAGACACCCCUAUGGGGCGUAAACUCCUUUUCUGAGAGAAGAAACCUCUGUAUGUUCAGAGUGUGACGGUAUCUCAGGAAUAAGCACCGGCUAACUCCGUGCCAGCAGCCGCGGUAAUACGGAGGGUGCAAGCGUUGUCCGGAAUCACUGGGUGUAAAGGGUGUGCAGGCGGGGCAGCAAGUCGGAGGUGAAAGUCCAUUGCUUAACCAUGGAAGUGCCUUCGAAACUGUUGCUCUUGAGUCCCGGAGAGGCUGCCGGAAUUCGUGGUGUAGCGGUGAAAUGCGUAGAGAUCACGAGGAACACCAGAGGCGAAAGCGGGCAGCUGGACGGGUACUGACGCUCAGGCACGAAAGCGUGGGGAGCAAACA